rnacentral:rRNA from 1 species
AUUGAACGCUGGCGGCAGGCCUAACACAUGCAAGUCGAACGAGUGGCGGACGGGUGAGUAAUGUCUGGGAAACUGCCUGAUGGAGGGGGAUAACUACUGGAAACGGUAGCUAAUACCGCAUACCAUCGGAUGUGCCCAGAUGGGAUGAGCUAGUAGGGGGGGGAAAGGCUCACCUAGGCGACGAUCCCUAGCUGGUCUGAGAGGAUGACAAUCCACACUGGAACUGAGACACGGUCCAGACUCCUACGGGAGGCAGCAGUGGGGAAUAGUGCACAAUGGGCGCAAGCCUGAUGCAGCCAUGCCGCGUGGAUGAAGAAGGCCUUCGGGUUGUAAAGUACUUUAAGUUGGGAGGCGUUACCAACAGAAUAAGCACCGGCUAACUACGUGCCAGCAGCCGCGGUAAUUC